AGAGUUUGAUCCUGGCUCAGGACGAACGCUGGCGGUGCGCUUAAUGCAUGCAAGUCGAACGGGCAAAGGGGCUUCGGCCUCGGCGCUAGUGGCAGACGGCUGAGUAACACGUAAGUGAUCUGCCCCGGAGAGGGGGAUAACCCGGAGAAAUCCGGCCUAAUACCCCAUACGUUCAGGUGGCUACGGCCAUGUGAAGAAAGGUUUACGUCGCUCUGGGAGGAGCUUGCGGCCUAUCAGGUAGUUGGUGGGGUAAGGGCCUACCAAGCCGAAGACGGGUAACCGAUGUGAGAGCAUGAUCGGUCAGAGGGGGACUGAGACACGGCCCCCACUCCUACGGGAGGCAGCAGCAGGGAAUCUUGCGCAAUGGGCGAAAGCCUGACGCAGCGACACCGCGUGGGGGAAGAAGGCUUUAGGGUUGUAAACCCCUUUUCUGUGGGAAGAGAUAGGACGGUACCACAGGAAUAAGCAUCGGCUAACUACGUGCCAGCAGCCGCGGUAAUACGUAGGAUGCAAGCGUUGUCCGGAUUUACUGGGCGUAAAGGGUGUGUAGGCGGCAUGUUAAGUCUCAUGUGAAAUCUCCCGGCUCAACUGGGAGCGGUCAUGGGAAACUGGCAAGCUUGAGGGCAGCAGAGGAAAGCGGAAUUCCGGGAGUAGUGGUGGAAUGCGUAGAUACCCGGAGGAACACCAGAGGCGAAGGCGGCUUUCUGGGCUGUACCUGACGCUGAGACACGAAAGCGUGGGGAGCAAACCGGAUUAGAUACCCGGGUAGUCCACGCCCUAAACGAUGGAUACUAGAUAUAGGGGGUAUCGACCCCUCCUGUGUCGGAGCUAACGCGAUAAGUAUCCCGCCUGGGGAGUACGGCCGCAAGGCUAAAACUCAAAGGAAUUGACGGGUCCCCGCACAAGCGGCGGAGCGUGUGGUUUAAUUCGAUGAUAAGCGAAGAACCUUACCUGGGCUUGACAUGCGUCUGACAGCCCGUGAAAGCGGGUUUUCCUUCGGGACAGAUGCACAGAUGUUGCAUGGCUGUCGUCAGCUCGUG
rnacentral:rRNA from 1 species